rnacentral:sRNA from 1 species
GUGGGGUCUCCCUGUGUUGCCCAGGCUGGGCUCAAGCAAUCAUCCUGACUCGGCCUCAGAAAGUGCUGAGAUUACAGGCAUGAGCCACUCUGCUCAGCCUGUUGAUUUCUCUUUAUUUAUUUAUUUAUUUACUGUUUUUUGAGAUGGAGUCUCACUCUGUUGGCCAGGUUAGAGUGCAGUGGCACGAUCUUGGCUCGCUGCAGCCUGCGCGUCCCAGGUUCAAGUUGUAUCAGAGUAAGAUGGACGGUAGCUUUGAUUGUGAUUGUGGUGAGCUGGAGCCACCUGAUCACUAACAAAAGACAUCUUCUGUUAACCAACAGCCACCAGGGCUUCCUGUUGAAAUAAAUAUAUAGCAACAAAGGAAGAAAAGAAGCAAAACGGAAAUAGUGCUUACCAGCACCUUAGAAUGAUGCUGCUCAGGACCAGUCCAACACUGAAUGUAUCUGC